GUAGUCUCGCACAGAUGCAUAUCAAUAACGGAGGAAAAGAAACUAACAAGGAUUCCCUCAGUAACGGCGAGUGAAGCGGGAAGAGCUCAAAUUUGAAAUCUUGAAAGGUCACCUUUCACGAAUUGUAGUUUAAAGAAGUGUUUUCUGUUACGAUCGUAAUAUAAGUUCUUUGGAAUAGGACAUCACAGAGGGUGAGAAUCCCGUCUAUGAUUGCGAUUUGUAGCUUUGUGAUACACUUUCAAAGAGUCGGAUUGUUUGGGAAUGCAGUCCAAAACUGGGUGGUAAAUUUCAUUCUAAGCUAAAUAUUGGCGAGAGACCGAUAGCGAACAAGUACCGUGAGGGAAAGAUGAAAAGAACUUUGAAAAGAGAGUUAAAUAGUACGUGAAAUUGUCAAAAGGGAAGCGUUUAACACCAGUGUUGUUUUCUGAAAAUCAACCUCUGUUAGCUUUAUGCAUGUUUGUUUAGACCUAAUCAGCUAUCUUGCAUGUUCUAUUGUUUGCAGUGGUGCACUUUUCAGUUUACAGGUCAACAUCAGUUUUUUUUACCGUAAAAAAGUUAAAGAAAGGUAGCUCAUGGCUCCGGUCGUGAGUGUUAUAGUCUUUUUCCUAUGCGGUAGGAGAGACUGAGGUCUGCAGUGUAGGCUAUUUGGCUAGAUACUCAGGUGCUAUGUGAUACCAUUUCAUAAACAACUUGUUGAUUAUGUUUUGUCUAUUGCAUACUCGCUUGUACUAUCAUACCUACGCUUAGGAUGUUGAGUCGUAGAGCACGCAG
rnacentral:rRNA from 1 species